rnacentral:rRNA from 1 species
UACGGGGGGGGCAAGCGUUGUUCGGAAUUACUGGGCGUAAAGGGCUCGUAGGUGGUCAACUAAGUCGGACGUGAAAUCCCUCGGCUUAACCGGGGAACUGCGUCCGAUACUGGAUGACUUGAGUUCGGGAGAGGGAUGCGGAAUUCCGAGGUGUAGCGGUGAAAUGCGUAGAUAUCUGGAGGAACACCGGUGGCGAAGGCGGCAUCCUGGACCGACACUGACGCUGAGGAGCGAAAGCCAGGGGAGCAAACGGG